rnacentral:rRNA from 1 species
AAAUAGAUACCCGGGUAGUCCACGCCGUAAACGAUGAGUGCUAAGUGUUAGAGGGUUUCCGCCCUUUAGUGCUGCAGCUAACGCAUUAAGCACUCCGCCUGGGGAGUACGGCCGCAAGGCUGAAACUCAAAGGAAUUGACGGGGGCCCGCACAAGCGGUGGAGCAUAUGGUUUAAUUCGAAGCAACGCGAAGAACCUUACCAGGUCUUGACAUCCUCUGCCAACCCUAGAGAUAGGGUGUUCCCCUUCGGGGGACAGAGUGACAGGUGGUGCAUGGUUGUCGUCAGCUCGUGUCGUGAGAUGUUGGGUUAAGUCCCGCAACGAGCGCAACCCUUGAUCUUAGUUGCCAGCAUUUAGUUGGGCACUCUAAGGUGACUGCCGGUGACAAACCGGAGGAAGGUGGGGAUGACGUCAAAUCAUCAUGCCCCUUAUGACCUGGGCUACACACGUGCUACAAUGGAUGGUACAAAGAGCUGCGAACCCGCGAGGGUAAGCCAAUCUCAUAAAGCCAUUCUCAGUUCGGA